GCGCCGUUGGUGUAGCGGUAACACACAAUCUGAUCUUGGCCCAUCUAAAGUAGAGAUAUUUUAAGGUUGAGUCCUGGGUUCGAAUCCCGGACAGCGCA